CAAGUGCUCUCUCCCACUCUUUGAAAACAACAGGAAAAACUACAUACACAGAAACAGAAGGAAAGAAUUCUAAAACGUAAAGGAACAGGAAAGACAACGCCACCACCCCAGGCAUGCAUCUUGAAGAUGGCGCAUACUGUUGCUACUGAGCGUGGUGGAUGGAGUAAAAGUAUGUUGAUAUGGCGCCAAUUAAGAGGGCUGCUUUGACCUGGAUGGUGUCAAAACUCUUGAGUGAUGUUGGAGAUGUGCUCAUCCUGGCAAGUGUGGAAUAUUCCAUCACACUCCUGACUUGUGUCUCGUGGUCUGGGAAUUCAGGAGAGUGGAAGCACUUCAAGACCACAUCUUUUUAUUUUGGAUUGCAGACUGAAAAUGGGUAAAAAUGGACCCUGAUUUAAAGAAGGAAAAACAGUGUUUACUUGCAAUUUGUAAAACACAAAUGAAGCUAUAUGAUGCAAAUGA